GAGAAUUUAGACAGUAUAGCGUACAGAUUGUCUCCAAGUAGCUAUAACUGUCAUCUCACGAAGAAUUAUGACAUGAACAUGUUGUCUUCUGAGUGGCUCCACCCAGCAACUGACUAGGACAAAUACAGACACAGCCAAACAGUGGAUAGAUCUUUGGAGCUCUUGUGGAAGGAUAGGUGGAAGGAUUGCAGGCCCAGAAAAGAAUAGGAACUCCACAGGAAGAAUAACAGAGUCAACUAUCCUGGACCCUUGAAGAUUUCAGAGUAUGAACCACUAAGCAAAGAUCAUAGAUACAGUGGACCUAUGCCUCUCUGAACCUAUGGAUUGGACAUGCAGCUUGGUCUUCAUGUGGUCCCUGACCAACCGAAAUAUAAGCUAUCCUAUUACAUGGGCUACAUGUAUGUGGGAUAUAUUCCUCUAACAGCCUUGUCUGGCUUUACUGGAAGAGGAAGUGCCUAGCCUCUCAGAGACUUUAAAUUCCAAGGCAAGGCUCCACCUAAUCAGAGGAAAAUGGAAAAGGGAUAAAGGAAGGAUUGUGGGAGGGGCUUACUGGGAGAGGGGUAUUAUGGCAGCCAUAGUUGAUAAUUAAUAAAACGACAGAGUGAGUAA